rnacentral:rRNA from 1 species
UCUGGAUGACCCUGCCAGUAGCAUAUGCUUGUCUCUGAGACUAAGCCAUGCAUGUCUAAGUAUAAAUUAAUUUUUACGGUGAAACUGCGGACGGCUCAUUAAAUCAGUUAUAACCUACUUGAUCGUGUGACUUUAUUCGGAUAACCCUAGUAAUUCUAGAGCUAAUACGUGCUAAAAGCCUUAACUUCCAGCAAUGGGGGAAGAGGUAUAUUUAUUAGAAACUAAAACCAAUCAGCUUCGGCUGUUUGAGAUGAUUCAUAAUAACUCGGCAAAUUACGGGAAAAUUCCUGUGAUGAUUCAAACGGAUUCCUGACCUUUCAACUUUAGAUGGCAAAGUAGGGGUUUGCCAUGGUGACAACGGGUGACGGGGAAUUAGGGUUCGAUUCCGGAGAGGGAGCCUGAGAAACGGCUACCACUUCCGAGGAAGGCAGCAGGCGCGCAAAUUACCCAAUGCUAAUUCGGCGAGGUAGUGACAAGAAAUACCAAUGUAGGACCCAACGGGUACUACGUUUGGAAUGAGAACAAUUUAAAAACCUUAACGAGGAACAAUUGGAGGGCAAGUCUGGUGCCAGCAGCCGCGGUAAUUCCAGCUCCAAUAGUGUAUAUUAAAGUUGCUGCGGUUAAAAAGCUCGUAGUUGGAUUACGAAGUGGUGUUUAAAUGUCAUUUUGGUUUGUUUGUCUUUCGGGGCAUUCAGGUCAACUUGGCUCUUACUCACUGUUGUCAUUGUCUUUGCCCAAGGUAUAUGCCUUGUGUGCAUGGCAUUGACCUUCUAUUUUAUGGUAAUGUUGUAUCUUUCGGGGUACAUUCAUUCCAUAUAGUUUACUUUGAAAUAAUUAGGGUGUUUAAAGCAGGCGAAAAGGCUUCGGAAUAUAUUAGCAUGGGAUAAUAGAAUACGAUCUAGGUCGUAAUUGUUGGUUUCUACGGCUUAGGUAAUGAUUGACAGGGAUAGUUGGGGUCGCUCGUAUUGAGUUGUCAGAGGUGAAAUUCUAGGAUUAACUCAAGACGAACUAAUGCGAAAGCAUUCGGCAAGGAUGUUUUCAUUAAUCAAGAACGAAAGUUGGGGGAUCGAAGAUGAUCAGAUACCGUCGUAGUCUCAACUGUAAACUAUGUCGACCGAGGAUCCGGUAGCGUUACAUGGAUGACCUUCCGGGCACUCUGUGAGAAAUCAUAAGUAUUUGGAUUUCGGGGGGAGUAUGGUCGCAAGGCUGAAACUUAAAGGGAUUGACGGAAGGGCACCACCAGGAGUGGAAUCUGCGGCUUAUUUGACCCAACACGGGAAAACUUACCAGGUCCGGACACAGUGAGGAUUGACAGAUUGAGAGCUCUUUCUUGAUUUUGUGGGUGGUGGUGCAUGGCCGUUUUUAGUUGGUGGAGUGAUUUGUCUGGUUAAAUCCGUUAACGAACGAGACCUUAACCUAUUAAAUAGCUGCGCGAACCCA